AACUGAUUGAUGGUGCUUGCACCUGAUUGACGAUGGAUCACCAGUGAGUGGCGGACGGGUGAGUAACACGUAGGUAACCUGCCCCGGAGCGGGGGAUAACAUUUGGAAACAGAUGCUAAUACCGCAUAACAACAAAAGCCACAUGGCUUUUGUUGAAAGAUGGCUUUGGCUAUCACUCUGGGAUGGACCUGCGGUGCAUUAGCUAGUUGGUAAGGUAACGGCUUACCAAGGCGAUGAUGCAUAGCCGAGUUGAGAGACUGAUCGGCCACAAUGGAACUGAGACACGGUCCAUACUCCUACGGGAGGCAGCAGUAGGGAAUCUUCCACAAUGGGCGCAAGCCUGAUGGAGCAACACCGCGUGAGUGAAGAAGGGUUUCGGCUCGUAAAGCUCUGUUGUUGGAGAAGAACGUGCGUGAGAGUAACUGUUCACGCAGUGACGGUAUCCAACCAGAAAGUCACGGCUAACUACGUG
rnacentral:rRNA from 1 species